rnacentral:misc_RNA from 1 species
AACCAUAGAAACCUGCGGAGUACCUGCGGAAGGAUCAUUACAGAGUUGCAAAACUCCCACAAACCAUCGCGAAUCUUACCCGUACGGUUGCCUCGGCGCUGGCGGUCCGGAAGGCCCUCGGGCCCCCGGACCCUCGGGUCUCCCGCUCGCGGGAGGCUGCCCGCCGGAGUGCCGAAACCAAACUCUUGAUAUUUUAUGUCUCUCUGAGUAAACUUUUAAAUAAGUCAAAACUUUCAGCAA